GUAGGUGGCAAGCGUUGUCCGGAAUUAUUGGGCGUAAAGCGCGCGCAGGCGGUUCUUUAAGUCUGAUGUGAAAGCCCACGGCUCAACCGUGGAGGGUCAUUGGAAACUGGAGAACUUGAGUACAGAAGAGGAAAGCGGAAUUCCACGUGUAGCGGUGAAAUGCGUAGAGAUGUGGAGGAACACCAGUGGCGAAGGCGGCUUUCUGGUCUGUAACUGACGCUGAGGCGCGAAAGCGUGGGGAGCAAACAGGGAUUAGAUACCCUGGUAGUCCACGCCGUAAACGAUGAGUGCUAAGUGUUAGGGGGGUUUCCGCCCCCUUAGUGCUGCAGCUAACGCAUUAGCACUCCGCCUGGGGAUACGGCGCAAGGCUG
rnacentral:rRNA from 1 species